rfam:Christensenella minuta strain DSM 22607 genomic scaffold Scaffold234, whole genome shotgun sequence.
CCGUACUAGACGGGGAGUUAGCGGUGUCCUGUAACCCGCAAGCCGCUAUAGCGGGGUUGAAUCCCGCGCGGAGGGUCUUCCCGGCAGGGUAUGGAGUACGCCUAUCGGUGUUGAUGAAUGGGUCCUGUGCAAUGCUGCGCUGUGAACCCUGUCAGGUCCUGACGGAAGCAGCAGUAAGCAGAUUGCAGUGUGUGCCGCAGGUCCGCCUGUUCUGAGCCGAUGGCGUAAUUUCCUCCUGUGGGGUAAGAUUCGAUGCGCGGUGUACGG